rnacentral:rRNA from 1 species
UACGUAGGGGGCUAGCGUUGUCCGGAAUCAUUGGGCGUAAAGAGCGCGUAGGCGGCCAGAUAAGUCCGGUGUGAAAGUCAAAGGCUCAACCUUUGAAUGCCGCUGGAAACUGUCUGGCUAGAGUCCGGAAGAGGAGAGUGGAAUUCCUGGUGUAGCGGUGAAAUGCGCAGAUAUCAGGAAGAACACCAAUGGCGAAAGCAGCUCUCUGGGACGGUACUGACGCUGAGACGCGAAAGCGUGGGGAGCGAACAGG